rnacentral:ncRNA from 2 species
UGUGGGAGCGGGUUCACCCGCGAAUGCGUCAGCAGCCCCAGCGGUAAUACCUGGGCUGACGCUUUCGCGGGUAAACCCGCUCCCACA